ACGGGGGGAGCAAGCGUUGUUCGGAUUUACUGGGCGUAAAGGGCGCGUAGGCGGCCACCGCAAGUCGGUUGUGAAAUCUCCGAGCUUAACUCGGAACGGCCAACUGAUACUGCUGUGCUAGAGUGCAGAAGGGGCAAUCAGAAUUCUUGGUGUAGCGGUGAAAUGCGUAGAUAUCAAGAGGAAUACCUGAGGUGAAGACGGGUUGCUAGGCUGACACUGACGCUGAGGCGCGAAAGCCAGGGGAGCAAACGGGA
rnacentral:rRNA from 1 species